rnacentral:rRNA from 1 species
ACGGAAGGCAGCAGUGGGGAAUAUUGCACAAUGGGGGAAACUCUGAUGCAGCGACGCCGCGUGAAGGAAGAAGUAUCUCGGUAUGUAAACUUCUAUCAGCAGGGAAGAUAAUGACGGUACCUGACUAAGAAGCCCCGGCUAACUACGUGCCAGCAGCCGCGGUAAUACGUAGGGGGCAAGCGUUAUCCGGAUUUACUGGGUGUAAAGGGAGCGUAGACGGAGAAGCAAGUCUAAUGUGAAAGGCAUGGGCUCAACCUGUGGACUGCAUUGGAAACUGUUUUUCUUGAGUGCCGGAGGGGUAAGCGGAGUUCCUAGUGUAGCGGUGAAAUGCGUAGAUAUUAGGAGGAACACCAGUGGCGAAGGCGGCUUACUGGACGGUAACUGACGUUGAGGCUCGAAAGCGUGGGGAGCAAACAGGAUUAGAUACCCUGGUA